rnacentral:tRNA from 1 species
GGGCAUGUAGCUCAAUGGUUAGAGCUCGCGUCUUAUACACGCGUGGUUCCUGGUUCGAGUCCAGGCAUGCCCA